AGGACGAACGCUGGCGGCGUGCCUAACACAUGCAAGUGGAGCGACGAACCAGGGCUUGCCCUGGGGCAGAGCCGCGAACGGGUGAGUAACACGUGGGUUACCUGCCUUGAUGACCGGGACAACCCGAGGAAACUCGGGCUAAUACCGGAUGUGCCCGCAAGGGGAAAGGAAGCUUCGGCCUCCGCAUCAAGAUGGGCCCGCGGCCCAUUAGCUUGUUGGUGAGGUAACGGCUCACCAAGGCUUCGAUGGGUAGCUGGUCUGAGAGGACGAUCAGCCACACUGGGACUGAGACACGGCCCAGACUCCUACGGGAGGCAGCAGUGGGGAAUCUUGCGCAAUGCGCGAAAGCGUGACGCAGCAACGCCGCGUGGGGGAAGAAGGCUUUCGGGUUGUAAACCCCUUUCAGUUGGGACGAAGCUUCUCCGGUGAAUAGCCGGACGGAGUGACGGUACCUUCACAAGAAGCACCGGCUAACUACGCGCCAGCAGCCGCGGU
rnacentral:rRNA from 1 species